rnacentral:rRNA from 1 species
UUAGGGAAGAACAAGUACCAGAGUAACUGCUGGUCCCUUGACGGUACCUACCCAAAAAGCACCGGCUAACUACGUGCCCAGCAGCCGCGGUAAUACGUAGGUGGCAAGCGUUGUUCUGUAAUUAUUGGGCGUAAAGCGCGCGCAGGUGGUUCCUUAAGUCUGAUGUGAAAGCCCCCGGCUCAAACGUGGAGGGUCAUUGGAAACUGGGGAACUUGAGUGCAGAAGAGGAAAGUGGAAUUCCAAGUGUAGCGGUGAAAUGCGUAGAGAUUUGGAGGAACACCAGUGGCGAAGGCGACUUUCUGGUCUGUAACUGACACUGAGGCGCGAAAGCGUGGGGAGCAAACAGGAUUAGAUACCCUGGUAGUUCACGCCGUAAACGAUGAGUGCUAAGUGUUAGAGGGUUUCCGCCCUUUAGUGCUGCAGCUAACGCAUUAAGCACUCCGCCUGGGGAGUACGGCCGCAAGGCUGAAACUCAAAGGAAUUGACGGGGGCCCGCACAAGCGGUGGAGCAUGUGGUUUAAUUCGAAGCAACGCGAAGAACCUUACCAGGUCUUGACAUCCUCUGACAACCCUAGAGAUAGGGCUUUCUCCUUCGGGGGACAGAGUGACAGGUGGUGCAUGGUUGUCGUCAGCUCGUGUCGUGAGAUGUUGGGUUAAGUCCCGCAACGAGCGCAACCCUUGAUCUUAGUUGCCAGCAUUCAGUUGGGCACUUUAAGGUGACUGCCGGUGACAAACCGGAGGAAGGUGGGGAUGACGUCAAAUCAUCAUGCCCCUUAUGACCUGGGCUACACACGUGCUACAAUGGAUGGUACAAAGGGCUGCAAACCUGCGAAGGUAAGCGAAUCCCAUAAAGCCAUUCUCAGUUCGGAUUGCAGGCUGCAACUUGCCUGCAUGAAGCCGGAAUCGCUAGUAAUCGCGGAUCAGCAUGCCGCGGUGAAUACGUUCCCCGAGAGUGUGAUCCCGGCUCAGUGAGGCCUCGAGAGUGGGUACCGGCGGGAAGUCAGUGAGCUCACCAGCGCUCGGAAAGCUGGUCGAAG